rnacentral:rRNA from 1 species
UACGGGGGGGGCAAGCGUUGUUCGGAAUUAUUGGGCGUAAAGGGCUCGUAGGCGGCUUGUCGCGUCGACUGUGAAAACCCGUGGCUCAACCAUGCGGUCUGCAGUCGAUACGGGCAGGCUAGAAUUCGGUAGGGGAGACUGGAAUUCCUGGUGUAGCGGUGAAAUGCGCAGAUAUCAGGAGGAACACCGGUGGCGAAGGCGGGUCUCUGGGCCGAUAUUGACGCUGAGGAGCGAAAGCGUGGGGAGCGAACAGG